rnacentral:rRNA from 1 species
AACGAACGCUGGCGGCAGGCCUAACACAUGCAAGUCGAGCGAGGACUUCGGUUCUAGCGGCGGACGGGUGAGUAACGCGUGGGAAUGUGCCCUUCUCUACGGAAUAGCCCUGGGAAACUGGGAGUAAUACCGUAUACGCCCUAUUGGGGAAAGAUUUAUCGGAGAAGGAUCAGCCCGCGUUGGAUUAGGUAGUUGGUGGGGUAAUGGCCUACCAAGCCGACGAUCCAUAGCUGGUUUGAGAGGAUGAUCAGCCACACUGGGACUGAGACACGGCCCAGACUCCUACGGGAGGCAGCAGUGGGGAAUCUUAGACAAUGGGGGCAACCCUGAUCUAGCCAUGCCGCGUGAGUGAUGAAGGCCUUAGGGUUGUAAAGCUCUUUCAGCUGGGAAGAUAAUGUCGGUACCAGCAGAAGAAGCCCCGGCUAACUCCGUG